CUCAUGUUCUGCACCUCAGGAGGGAAUUCAGCCUCAGUGAUGUCCAUGAGGCCUGUCCCAGGCUCUCUAUCUUCUCUGCUACAUCUCCACAACAGACAGAGACAGCCCAUGCCAGCCUCCAUGCCUGGGACCCUGCCCAACCCUACAAUGCCAGGAUCUUCCGCCGUCUUGAUGCCAAUGGAGCGACAAAUGUCAGUGAACUCCAGCAUCAUGGGGAUGCAAGGUCCAAAUCUCAGCAACCCCUGUGCUUCUCCCCAGGUCCAGCCAAUGCAUUCAGAAGCCAAAAUGAGGUUGAAGGCUGCAUUGACUCACCACCCUGCUGCCAUGUCAAAUGGGAACAUGAACACCAUGGGACACAUGAUGGAGAUGAUGGGCUCCCGGCAGGACCAGACGCCACACCAUCACAUGCACUCGCACCCGCAUCAGCACCAGACACUGCCACCCCAUCACCCUUACCCACACCAGCACCAGCACCCAGCACACCAUCCUCACCCUCAACCCCAUCACCAGCAGAACCAUCCACAUCACCACUCCCACUCCCACCUUCAUGCACACCCAGCACAUCACCAGACCUCGCCACAUCCGCCCCUGCACACCGGCAACCAAGCACAGGUUUCACCAGCAACACAACAGAUGCAGCCAACCCAGACAAUACAGCCACCCCAGCCCACAGGGGGGCGCCGGCGAAGGGUGGUAGACGAGGAUCCGGACGAGAGGCGGCGGAAAUUUCUGGAACGGAACCGGGCAGCUGCCACCCGCUGCAGACAGAAGAGGAAGGUCUGGGUGAUGUCAUUGGAAAAGAAAGCAGAAGAACUCACCCAGACAAACAUGCAGCUUCAGGUGCAGCCCACGGUGUCUUUCCCCGGGACUCAAAGGCCCUCUGCUCCACGGGCAUUUCCGGCCCUGACAGGCACUUGUUGACCUAAGCAGUGAUACCACACACUUAGUCCACAGAGGAGCCGCAGCCCCACUCCUCGAGUUUUAUUAAUUCCAGGACACCCUACAAAACAAAAUUAACCAUUCAGUUUUCAAUCAAUUUGCCCACAAAGCUCUGAGAAGGGGGGACCUACCCCACUAAGUUGUAGGGGUGGGAGAACAGGCUUUAAUCCGACAGAGAUCCAAACCAUGGUUCACCAAUUACUUGCUAGGCUUAACUCUCUGGCUCUCAGUUUC
rnacentral:lncRNA from 1 species